rnacentral:lncRNA from 1 species
UUAAUACUCCUAAUUAGCAUCCGAACAUCCAAUGUGACAUGUUUAGCCCCUGUCUCCCAAACACCCCCGAAAUAAACAGAAGAAUUUUUCAAAUGCAAGAUCUUCCUCCCUUCAAGUCGCUCAUAUCAGUGCCAGCUUUAUGGGCAUCGAAGAUGAACUUAUAUAAUGUUUUGCUAUAAUACACCCGGAUGCAUCCUGUACAUAAAAUGCACCCAGCCCGGUGGACGCACCAGGCCAAACAUGGGUGCGUGAUUCCUAAAUUAAUUUGUAUCUUCAACCUACCACGUAACGCCACCUAACAUACAAAUCCUAUCAGACUGCAUGCAUGCAUGCAUGGAAUCUUUUGUUGGUUCAAAUCUUUGAAACAAUUUUUCUCCUAAACCGUAGCCCCGAUUGACAAACCGUUUGUUGCAUCCGACUCAAAAAAAAUAUUCUUAACAAAACUAGAUCCAAUAUGGAUAUAUUUUUUAUCGUUUAAUUGAGUUGCAUCUCUAUGUACUAACAAUUGUAACUCUGUCUACCACCUAGUUGCAACUAGUUAGUAUUAUCUGCAUUUGGUCACUAUAAUCCUGUCAAGUUGCAAUUCUAAGUUGCAAGCAUAUCUUGUUGCAACCAGAGUAGCAACUAUGUUGCAGCUGAGUAGUAACUAGUUGCAUAAGUAGUAACUGGGUUACAAUUCGGUAGCAGUAACUGGUUGCAACAAGUAGUGAUUGUGUAGUAAUGAGUUGCAACCACUACUAUUUGGGUUUGCAAUCGGACAGUAACUUGUUGGGAAACAAUUAGGUUGUGACUGGUUGCAACACAUGAUAACGGGUUGCAAUUCGGAGUUGGAAGCAUAUCUGGUUGCAAUUAGAGUAGUAACUAGGUUGCAACUGAGUAGUGAAUAAUUGCAACUAGAAGUAAUAACAAGGUUACACUAGGUUAUAAUUAGUUUCAACCAGUGCUAAACUAAAUUACAAUUAUAUUGUAGAAGUGCUUGUAACUCACCGUACAACAUAUUACAAUUAUGUACUUGAAAAAAAUUCAUCAAAUAUAGCCUUCAUGGAUCUCGCUUUGUUAAUCUUCAAA